rnacentral:rRNA from 1 species
GAUGAACGCUGGCGGCGUGCUCAACACAUGCAAGUCGAACGGAACUUGUUGGAUCAAGACUUCGGUCAAGUGAAUUCAAGUUUAGUGGCGGACGGGUGAGUAACGCGUGAGGAACCUGCCUCGGAGUGGGGAAUAACAGUUGGAAACNGCUGCUAAUACCGCAUGAUGCAUACGGAUCGCAUGGUCUGUAUGCCAAAGAUUUAUCGCUCUGAGAUGGCCUCGCGUCUGAUUAGCUAGUUGGCGGGGUAACGGCCCACCAAGGCGACGAUCAGUAGCCGGACUGAGAGGUUGGCCGGCCACAUUGGGACUGAGACACGGCCCAGACUCCUACGGGAGGCAGCAGUGGGGAAUAUUGGGCAAUGGGGGAAACCCU